GGCCCUUCGGGGUACUCGAGUGGCGAACGGGUGAGUAACACGUGGGUGAUCUGCCCUGCACUUCGGGAUAAGCCUGGGAAACUGGGUCUAAUACCGGAUAGGACCACACGUUUCAUGGUGUGUGGUGGAAAGCUUUUGCGGUGUGGGAUGGGCCCGCGGCCUAUCAGCUUGUUGGUGGGGUAAUGGCCUACCAAGGCGUCGACGGGUAGCCGGCCUGAGAGGGUGUCCGGCCACACUGGGACUGAGAUACGGCCCAGACUCCUACGGGAGGCAGCAGUGGGGAAUAUUGCACAAUGGGCGCAAGCCUGAUGCAGCGACGCCGCGUGGGGGAUGACGGCCUUCGGGUUGUAAACCUCUUUCAGCACAGACGAAGCGCAAGUGACGGUAUGUGCAGAAGAAGCACCGGCCAACUACGUGCCAGCAGCCGCGGUAAUACGUAGGGUGCGAGCGUUGUCCGGAAUUACUGGGCGUAAAGAGCUUGUAGGUGGUUUGUCGCGUUGUUCGUGAAAUCUCACGGCUUAACUGUGAGCGUGCGGGCGAUACGGGCAGACUGGAGUACUGCAGGGGAGACUGGAAUUCCUGGUGUAGCGGUGGAAUGCGCAGAUAUCAGGAGGAACACCGGUGGCGAAGGCGGGUCUCUGGGCAGUAACUGACGCUGAGAAGCGAAAGCGUGGGGAGCGAACAGGAUUAGAUACCCUGGUAGUCCACGCCGUAAACGGUGGGUACUAGGUGUGGGUUUCCUUCCUUGGGAUCCGUGCCGUAGCUAACGCAUUAAGUACCCCGCCUGGGGAGUACGGCCGCAAGGCUAAACUCAAAGGAAUUGACGGGGGCCCGCACAAGCGGCGGAGCAUGUGAUUAAUUCGAUGCAACGCGAAGAACCUUACCUGGG
rnacentral:rRNA from 1 species